rnacentral:rRNA from 1 species
AUUGAACGCUGGCGGCAGGCCUAACACAUGCAAGUCGAGCGGGGUUUUCGGACCUAGCGGCGGACGGGUGAGUAAUGCGUAGGAAGCUACCCGAUAGAGGGGGAUACCAGUUGGAAACGACUGUUAAUACCGCAUAAUGUCUACGGACCAAAGUGUGGGACCUUCGGGCCACAUGCUAUCGGAUGUGCCUACGUGGGAUUAGCUAGUUGGUGAGGUAAUGGCUCACCAAGGCGACGAUCCCUAGCUGGUUUGAGAGGAUGAUCAGCCACACUGGAACUGGGACACGGUCCAGACUCCUACGGGAGGCAGCAGUGGGGAAUAUUGGACAAUGGGCGCAAGCCUGAUUCAGCCAUGCCGCGUGUGUGAAGAAGGCCUUCGGGUUGUAAAGCACUUUCAGUAAGGAGGAAGCGUUGAGUGUUAAUAGUACUCAGCGUUGACGUUACUUACAGAAGAAGCACCGGCUAACUCUGUGCCAGCCGCCGCGGUAAUAC